rnacentral:rRNA from 1 species
UACGUAGGGACCAAGCGUUGUUCGGAUUUACUGGGCGUAAAGGGCGCGUAGGCGGCAAUUCAAGUCAUCUGUGAAAUCUCCGGGCUUAACCCGGAACGGUCAGGUGAUACUGUUUUGCUAGAGUGCGGAAGGGGCAAUCGGAAUUCUCGGUGUAGCGGUGAAAAUGCGUAGAUAUCAGAGGGAACACCAGAGGUGAAGACGGGUUGCUGGGGCCGACACUGACGCUGACAGCGCGAAAGCCAGGGGAGCAAACGGG